rnacentral:tRNA from 1 species
CAUGUCGAAGCUAAUAUAUAGCAUUUAACUGUUAAUUAAAAGGAAGCCUCAAAAGGCCGGUAUGA